rnacentral:rRNA from 1 species
GAUGAACGCUGACAGAAUGCUUAACACAUGCACGUCAAAUUGUGGCGGAAGGGUGAGUAAGGCGUAAAGAACGUGCAUCACAGCUAGGGACAACAUAUGGAAACGAAUGCUAAGACCUAAUACUGUGAGAGAGCUUUGCGUCCCAUUAGCUAGUUGGAGAGGUAACGGCGCACCAAGGCGAUGAUGGGUAGCCGGCCUGAGAGGGUGAUCGGCCCAACGGAGCAGGAGUGACGGCCCUUACUCUUUCUGGAGCCAGCAGUGCGGAAUGUUGGACAUUAUACCAAGGUCUGAUCCAGCAAUUCUGUGUGCCUGAUGAGGUUUUCGUACUGUAUAGUGCUUUCAGUUGGGCAGCGUUACCAACAGAAGAAGUGGCGGCUAAAUACGUGCCAGCAGCCGCGGUAAUAC